UUCCUGAAUAUCACAUGUGGUGAUAAACACAAAGAUGUAUGAAAAAUUGUGUUCGUUGGGAGAAAAUGGAAGCCUUUUCAUUCUACUUCCACAUUUUCAUUCCAGCAGCUUUUCUCUUUUGGAAGGUGAGUGCUGAAUCUUGCAAUGAAAUUUUUUUAACUUAAACAAGACAAGGAAAAUGAAGUGCAGAGACGUUAAAUAACUCUCUCAAGGUCAUGCAGUUGAGAAGAGAUGGGACUUGAACUCCAGCGCCAGCCCUGUUAAUCACUAUUCUGUACUGUCUUUCAGAUGGAAUGAUAGGGUACACAUAAAUGUUCAUGUGGGCUCUGGAGUAUACCAGGAACUGAAGUAAGGUACAUGGACGUCUUGAAUAUUGUAACUGUGAGAUGGGCAAGCCUACACCUUUGCAAAUAAAGGAGGAUUGGGAAAGAUUAAGAUCCUAUUCAAAUGUCAGUGUUACUGUUUAGCCUUUGAUAUCUCCAUUAAAGGCAACUUCUUUCUGGACCCAGAAAUAAAGCUUUACAUUAGCAGCUUCCAUAACAGCAAUAACAUGAAUGACCAUCUACUGAGCAAUUGCAAUGCACCAGGAUUAUGGUUUAUGAGCACUUUAUGUUUAUUAUCUCACAACUCACUGAGUUAGAUACUCUCCACAACCCAGUGAGCCUCUCAAGCACUGUGAAAAAUC
rnacentral:antisense_RNA from 1 species